rnacentral:sRNA from 1 species
UACCUACGGGCGGGAGGCGGUCGCGGA